rnacentral:rRNA from 1 species
GAUGAACGCUAGCGACAGGCUUAACACAUGCAAGUCGAGGGGCAGCAUAGAAGUAGCAAUACUUUGGUGGCGACCGGCGCACGGGUGAGUAACGCGUAUGCAACCUACCUAUCAGAGGGGAAUAACCCGGCGAAAGUCGGACUAAUACCGCAUAAAACAGGGGCACCGCAUGGUGAUAUUUGUUAAAGAAAUUCGCUGAUUGAUGGGCAUGCGUUCCAUUAGGUAGUUGGUGAGGUAACGGCUCACCAAGCCGACGAUGGAUAGGGGAACUGGGAGGUUGGUCCCCCACACUGGUACUGAGACACGGACCAGACUCCUACGGGGGGCAGCAGUGAGGAAUAUUGGUCAAUGGGCGGGAGCCUGAACCAGCCAAGUCGCGUGAAGGAAGAAGGAUCUAUGGUUCGUAAACUUCUUUUGCAGGGGAAUAAAGUGCGGGACGUGUCCUGUUUUGUAUGUACCCUGAGAAUAAGGAUCGGCUAACUCCGUGCCAGCAGCCGCGGUAAAAC